rnacentral:rRNA from 1 species
CCUACGGGAGGCUGCAGUGAGGAAUAUUGGUCAAUGGACGAGAGUCUGAACCAGCCAAGUAGCGUGAAGGAUGACUGCCCUAUGGGUUGUAAACUUCUUUUAUAUGGGAAUAAAAUGUUCCACGUGUGGGAUUUUGUAUGUACCAUAUGAAUAAGGAUCGGCUAACUCCGUGCCAGCAGCCGCGGUAAUACGGAGGAUCCGAGCGUUAUCCGGCUUUAUUGGGUUUAAAGGGAGCGUAGGUGGAUUGUUAAGUCAGUUGUGAAAGUUUGCGGCUCAACCGUAAAAUUGCAGUUGAAACUGGCAGUCUUGAGUACAGUAGAGGUGGGCGGAAUUCGUGGUGGAGCGGUGAAAUGCUUAGAUAUCACGAAGAACUCCGAUUGCGAAGGCAGUUCACUGGACUGCAACUGACACUGAGGCUCGAAAGUGUGGGUAUCAAACAGGAUUAGAUACCCGGGUAGUC